rnacentral:siRNA from 1 species
AAGGCUCAAAUUUUUGGUAAGUGA